rnacentral:rRNA from 1 species
CCUACGGGAGGCUGCAGUGAGGAAUAUUGGUCAAUGGGCGGGAGCCUGAACCAACCAAGUCGCGUGAGGGAUGACGGUCCUACGGAUUGUAAACCUCUUUUGUCAGGGAGCAAAGGGCGCCACGUGUGGCGUUUUGCGAGUACCUGAAGAAAAAGCAUCGGCUAACUCCGUGCCAGCAGCCGCGGUAAUACGGAGGAUGCGAGCGUUAUCCGGAUUUAUUGGGUUUAAAGGGUGCGCAGGCGGAAUGUCAAGUCAGCGGUAAAAUUUCGGGGCUCAACCCCGUCGUGCCGUUGAAACUGGCGUUCUUGAGUGAGCGAGAAGUAUGCGGAAUGCGUGGUGUAGCGGUGAAAUGCAUAGAUAUCACGCAGAACUCCGAUUGCGAAGGCAGCAUACCGGCGCUCAACUGACGCUCAUGCACGAAAGCGUGGGUAUCGAACAGGAUUAGAUACCCGGGUAGUC